CCUACGGGAGGCAGCAGUGAGGAAUAUUGGUCAAUGGACGAGAGUCUGAACCAGCCAAGUAGCGUGAAGGAUGACUGCCCUAUGGGUUGUAAACUUCUUUUAUAUGGGAAUAAAAUGUUCCACGUGUGGGAUUUUGUAUGUACCAUAUGAAUAAGGAUCGGCUAACUCCGUGCCAGCAGCCGCGGUAAUACGGAGGAUCCGAGCGUUAUCCGGAUUUAUUGGGUUUAAAGGGAGCGUAGGUGGAUUGUUAAGUCAGUUGUGAAAGUUUGCGGCUCAACCGUAGAAUUGCGGUUGAAACUGGCAGUCUUGAGUACAGUAGAGGUAGGCGGAAUUUGUGGUGUAGCGGUGAAAUGCUUAGAUAUCAGGAAGAACUCCGAUUGCGAAGGCAGUUCACUGGACUGCAACUGACACUGAGGCUCGAAAGUGUGGGUAUCAAACAGGAUUAGAUACCCGGGUAGUC
rnacentral:rRNA from 1 species